GUGGGGAAUAUUGGACAAUGGGCGCAAGCCUGAUCCAGCCAUGCCGCGUGAGUGAUGAAGGCCUUAGGGUUGUAAAGCUCUUUUGUCCGGGAAGAUAAUGACUGUACCGGAAGAAUAAGCCCCGGCUAACUUCGUGCCAGCAGCCGCGGUAAUACGAAGGGGGCUAGCGUUGUUCGGAAUCACUGGGCGUAAAGCGCACGUAGGCGGACCAUUAAGUCAGGGGUGAAAGCCUGGAGCUAAACUCCAGAACUGCCUUUGAUACUGAUGGUCUCGAGUAUGGAAGAGGUUGGUGGAACUGCGAGUGUAGAGGUGAAAUUCGUAGAUAUUCGCAAGAACACCGGUGGCGAAGGCGGCCAACUGGUCCAUUACUGACGCUGAGGUGCGAAAGCGUGGGGAGCAAACAGGAUUAGAAACCCUGGUAGUCC
rnacentral:rRNA from 1 species